rnacentral:rRNA from 1 species
UACGUAGGGUGCGAGCGUUGUCCGGAAUUAUUGGGCGUAAAGAGCUCGUAGGCGGCCUGUCGCGUCGGAUGUGAAAGCCCGGGGCUUAACCCCGGGUCUGCAUUCGAUACGGGCAGGCUAGAGUGUGGUAGGGGAGAUCGGAAUUCCUGGUGUAGCGGUGAAAUGCGCAGAUAUCAGGAGGAACACCGGUGGCGAAGGCGGAUCUCUGGGCCAUUACUGACGCUGAGGCGCGAAAGCGUGGGGAGCAAACAGG